CGGAAUCGAAUUUCGUAGGUGAACUGCGAAGGAUCAUUGCACACACAGUUGCAGCCCAACCCCUUGCGAAUCGUACCAAUGUCCAACUCCACGCACCUUUUGUGUGUGUUUGGGGGCUGGGGCAGUUUCCGAUCACAUCAAGGUCGGAAUUCGUCUUGGCUGCUGAACACACUUAUACGGGGUGUUGGUGUUAUCCCAACCGAUUGCACUCUGCAUCAACACCUCCAAUAUGACUGAGUAUAGAAACGAGAGGAAACUCUCCCUCUCGAAAGUUAGGGAGAGCGUACUCGAGUUGUAAUAAACAAAAACAACUCUCAGCAACGGAUAUCUGGCUCUUGCAACGAUGAAGAACGCAGCGAAAUGCGAUACGUAGUGUGAAUUGCAGAAUUCCGCGAAUCAUCGAGUCUUUGAACGCAAGUUGCGCCCGAGGCUUGACCAAGGGCAUUUCUGCCAGAGCGUCACCGCGACACCCACCCGACAAACACUACUCCUCCUCGGAGUAGCGCUCGUUGGAGUGAAAGUGGCCAUCCGAAUGAGGCCGUACUCGUACGGCAAGAUUGGGUUGGCUGAAAUGUAGGGAAUUUGGCCGCCGUGGUAGAACAGCCCGCGAUCAGGUGAUCCAGGUGCAAACCUGGAACUCAAACGUGCGCGGGCUCGGGACGCCCAGUUGGUUCCAAGCUCCAAAGCAGGUCCCCCUUUCGUCUACCGACACUCCGACAACAAGUCGGAGCGAAGGUCCGAAGGGAGAGAAAAACGUCACGCAUCAGACCUCUGGUCAGAAAAGACUACCCGCUGAGUUUAAGCAUAUCAAUAAGCGGAGGA
rnacentral:rRNA from 1 species